UACUCUCACGAGGGAUUUCUCCAGUCUGCAUGUCUUCAGUGUCAUUUAUCUCUUCUGCUGGGACAUUAACCGCUGAUAUACUAUCUUCCGCUUCAACAGGUUCAGUAUUCUUGAUCUCUUCUAGUGCUGUUUCCUGUGUUGUUGGUAUAUCGACUUGUACAUCAGGAGCUAUCUUGUCCGCAAGACCAACAUCUUCAGUGAGCUCGCUGAUGUUUGCAUCAGUGCUCUUCUUGACUGCUUCAAUUUCCAUGGUUCCAGUGCCCUUCACUUCUUCUGCUGGUAGGUCAGGUGCUGAUUUGUUUUCUUCCAUCUCAACAGGUUCAGCAUUCUCGAGCUCUUGUAGUUCUGACACUUGUGCUUCUGGUAUAUCAUCUGUUGCCUCAGCUGCCAUUACAUGUUCUUCAGGAGCUGCCUCAUCUGCAUGAGCAACAUUGCCUCUUACAUCCUCGGUGAGCUCACUGAUGUUUACAUCAGCGAUCUCGUUGAUUGCUUCAGUUUUCUUGGCUUCAGUCUCCUUCACCUCUUCUGCCGACAGCUCAUUUGCUGAUAUGUUUUCUUCCACUUCAAUAGGUUCAGUAUUCUUGAUUUCUUCUAGGUCUAGCUCUUGUGCUCGUGGGAUAUCAACUGGUGCCUCAGUUGCUAUUACAUGCUCUUCAGGAGCAGCCUCAUCUGCAGGAGCAACAUUGCUUGUCACAUCCUCAGUGAGUUCGCUGAUGUUUGCAUCAGGGCUCUUGUUGAUUGCUUCAGUUUCCUUCACCACUUCUGCUUGCAGGCCACUUGCUGAUCUAUUUUCUUCCACCUCAACUGGUUCAACACUCUUGAUCUCUUCUAGUUCCGGCUCCUGUGCCUGUGGUAUAUCAAAUGUUGUCUCAGCUACUGUUACAUGCUCUGCAUGAGGUUCCUCGUCUGCAGGCACAACGUUGCUUUUCACAUCCUCAUUGAGCUCACUGAUGUUUGCAUCAGUCCUUUUGCUGAUUGCUUCAGUUUCCUUCACCUCUUCUUCUGGCAGGUCACCUGCUUCAGUAUUCUUGAUCUCUUCUAGCUCUGGCUCUUGUGCAUGUGGUAUAUCGACUGUUGUCUCAGCUACUGUUACAUGUUCUUUAUGAGCUGCCUCAUCUGUAAGAGCAAUGUUGCAUUUCAUAUCUUCAGUAAGCUCACUGAUGUUUGCAUCAGUGCUCUCAUUGAUUGCUUCAGUGUCCUUCACCUCUUCUGCCGGUAUGUCACUCGCUGAUGUGUUUUCUUCCACCUCAACAGGUUCAGUAUUCUCGAUCUCUUCUAGUUCUGGUUCUUGUGCUCGUGGAAUAUUAACUGUUCCCUCAGUUGCUAUUAUAUGCUCUUCAUGAGCUGCCUCGUCUGCAGGAUUGACACUGCUUGUCACAUCCUCAAUGAGCUCGCUGAUGUUUGCAUCAAUGCUCUCGUUGAUUGCUUCAGUUUCCUUCACCUCUUCUGCUGGCAAGUUACCUGCUGAUCUGUUCUCCUCCACCUCAACAGGUUCAACAUUCUCAAGAUCCUUUAGUUCCGGCGCUUGUGCUUGUGGUAUAUCAACCGUUGCCUCAGCUGCUAUUACAUGUUCUUCAGGAGCUGCCUCUUCUGCAGGAGUAACAUUGCUUUUCAUAUCCUCAGUGAGCUCACUAAUGCUUGCAUCAGUGCUCUCAUUGAUUGCUUCAGUGUCCUUCACCUUUUCUGCUGGCAGGUCACUUGCUGGUAUGUUUUCUUCCACCUUAACAGGUCUAGUAUUCUGGAUCUCUUCUACUUCUGGCUCUUGUGCUUGUGGUAUAUCGACUGUAUUAUCAGCUACCGUUACAUGUUCUUCAGGAGCUGCCUCGUCUGCAAGAGCAACAUUGCUUUUCACAUCUUCAGUAAGCUCAUUGUUGUUUGCAUCAGUGCUCUCGUUGAUUGCUUCAGUCUCCACGGCUUCACUAUCUUUCACCUCUUCUGCUGGCAGAUCAUUUUCUGAUACAUAUGCUUCCACUUCAGCAGGUUCAGUGUUCUUGGUCUCUUCUAGUUCUGGCUCUUGUGUUCGUGGUAUAUCAACUGUUGCGGCAGUUGCUAUUACAUGUUCUUCAGGAGCUGCCUCGUCUGCACACACGAGAUUGCUUUUCACAUCCUCAGUAAGCUUACUGAUGUUUGCAUCAAUGCUCUCGUUGAAUGCUUCAGUUUCCUUGGCUUCAGUGUCCUUCAUCUCUUCUGCCGGCAUGUCACUAGCUGAUAUGUUUUCUUUCACUUCAACAGGUUCAAUAUUCUUGAUCUCUUCUAGUUCCGGCUCUUGUGCUUGUGCUAUAUCAACUGUUGCCUCAGUUGCUAUUACAUGUUCUUCAGGAGCAGCCUCGUCUGCAAGAGCAACGUUACUUUCCACAUCCUCAGCGAUCUCACUGAAGUUUGCAUCAGUGCUCCCAUUGGUUGCUUCAGUUUCCUUGGCUUCAUUGCCGUUCACCUCUUCUGCCGGCAGGUCACUCGCUGAUAUGUUUUCUUCCACCUCAACAGGUUCAGUAUUCUUGAUCUCUUCUACUUCUGGCUCUUGUGCAUGUGGUAUAUCAACUGUAUCAUCAGCUACUGUUACAUGUUCUUCAGGAGCUGCUUCGUCUGCAAGAGCAACAAUGUUUUUCACAUCUUCAGUGAGCUCACUGUUGUUUGUGUUAGUGCUCUCGUUGAUUGUUUCAGUCUCCAUGGCUUCAGUAUCCUUCACCUCUUCUGCUGGCAGAUCAUUUGCUGAUAUGUUUUCUGCCACUUCAGCAGGUUCAGUAUUCUUGGUCUCUUCUAGUUCUGGCUCUUGUGCUUCUGGUAUAUCAACUGUUGCCUCAGGUGCCAUUACAUGCUCUUCAGGAGCUACCUCCUCUGUAAGGGCAACAUUGUUUUGCACAUCUUCAAUGAGAUCGCUAAUGUUUGCGUCACUGCUCUCAUUGUUUGCUUCAGUUUCCCCCAUCUCUUCUGCAGGCAGGUCGCUUGCUGAUCUAGUUUCUUCCACCUCAACAGGUUCAGUAUUCUUGACCUCUUCUAGUUUCGGCUCUUGUGCUUGUGGUACAUCAACUGUUCUCUCAGCUACUGUUACAUGUUCAUCAUGAGCUGCCUCGUCUGUAAGAGAAACAUUGCUUUGCACAUCUUCAGUGAGCUCACUGUUGUUUGCAUCAGUGCUGUCGUUGAUUGCUUCUGUUUCCACGGUGUCAGUAUCCUUCACAUUUUUCGCUGGCAGAUCACUUGCUGAUGUGUUCCCUUCCACUUCAGCAG
rnacentral:lncRNA from 1 species